rnacentral:rRNA from 1 species
GAUGAACGCUGGCGGCGUGCCUAAUACAUGCAAGUCGAACGAAACUUCUUUAUCACCGAGUGCUUGCACUCACCGAUAAAGAGUUGAGUGGCGAACGGGUGAGUAACACGUGGGCAACCUGCCCAAAAGAGGGGGAGAACACUUGGAAACAGGUGCUAAUACCGCAUAACCAUAGUUACCGCAUGGUAACUAUGUAAAAGGUGGCUAUACUACCGCUUUUGGAUGGGCCCGCGGCGCAUUAGCUAGUUGGUAGGGUAAAGGCUUACCAAGGCAAUGAUGCGUAGCCGAAUUGAGAGGUUGAUCGGCCACAUUGGGACUGAGACACGGCCCAAACUCCUACGGGAGGCAGCAGUAGGGAAUCUUCCACAAUGGGCGAAAGCCUGAUGGAGCAACGCCGCGUGGGUGAAGAAGGUCUUCGGAUCGUAAAACCCUGUUGUUAGAGAAGAAAGUGCGUGAGAGUAACUGUUCACGUUUCGACGGUAUCUAACCAGAAAGCCACUGCUAACUACGUG